UACGUAGGGUGCAAGCGUUAAUCGGAAUUACUGGGCGUAAAGCGUGCGCAGGCGGUUUUGUAAGUCAGAUGUGAAAUCCCCGGGCUUAACCUGGGAACUGCGUUUGAAACUACAAGGCUAGAGUGUGACAGAGGGGGGUGGAAUUCCACGUGUAGCAGUGAAAUGCGUAGAGAUGUGGAGGGACACCGAUGGCGAAGGCAGCCCCCUGGGUUAACACUGACGCUCAGGCACGAAAGCGUGGGGAGCAAACAGG
rnacentral:rRNA from 1 species